rnacentral:rRNA from 1 species
GAUCCUGGCUCAGGAUGAACGCUAGCUACAGGCUUAACACAUGCAAGUCGAGGGGAAACGACAUCGAAGCUUGCUUUUGAUGGGCGUCGACCGGCGCACGGGUGAGUAACGCGUAUCCAACCUGCCCACACUUGGGGAUAACCUUGCGAAAGUAAGACUAAUACCCAAUGACGUCUCUAGAAGACAUCUGAAAGGGAUUAAAGAUUUAUCGGUGAUGGAUGGGGAUGCGUCUGAUUAGCUUGUUGGCGGGGUAACGGCCCACCAAGGCAACGAUCAGUAGGGGGUUCUGAGAGGAAGGUCCCCCACAUUGGAACUGAGACACGGUCCAAACUCCUACGGGAGGCAGCAGUGAGGAAUAUUGGUCAAUGGGCGAGAGCCUGAACCAGCCAAGUAGCGUGCAGGAUGACGGCCCUAUGGGUUGUAAACUGCUUUUAUAAGGGAAUAAAGUGAGAGUCGUGACUCUUUUUGCAUGUACCUUAUGAAUAAGGACCGGCUAAUUCCGUG